AAUCAACGCUGGCGGCGUGCCUAACACAUGCAAGUCGAACGCGAAAGUUCCCUUCGGGGAGCGAGUAGAGUGGCGUCCGGGUGAGUAACACGUAGGUAAUCUACCUUUGGGUGGGGAAUAACAACCGGAAACGGUUGCUAAUACCGCAUAAUGCAGCGGCACCGCAUGGUGACAGUUGUUAAAGCGGGGGAGUCGCAAGACCUCGCGCCUAAAG
rnacentral:rRNA from 1 species